UUCAGUCUCAAUGGGGGCACUGGGGCUGGAGGGCAGGGGUGGGAGGCUCCAGGGGAGGGGUUCCCUCCUGCUAGCUGUGGCAGGAGCCACUUCUCUGGUGACCUUGUUGCUGGCGGUGCCUAUCACUGUCCUGGCUGUGCUGGCCUUAGUGCCCCAGGAUCAGGGAGGACUGGUGAGUGGCUGCAACAGGCCCUGGUGGAGAGUUGUAUCUU
rnacentral:lncRNA from 1 species